AGGGGAGUGAAAAAGAACCUGAAACCGUGUACGUACAAGCAGUGGGAGCACAGAGCAAUCUGUGUGACUGCGUACCUUUUGUAUAAUGGGUCAGCGACUUAUAUUCUGUAGCAAGGUUAACCGAAUAGGGGAGCCGAAGGGAAACCGAGUCUUAACUGGGCGUUAAGUUGCAGGGUAUAGACCCGAAACCCGGUGAUCUAGCCAUGGGCAGGUUGAAGGUUGGGUAACACUAACUGGAGGACCGAACCGACUAAUGUUGAAAAAUUAGCGGAUGACUUGUGGCUGGGGGUGAAAGGCCAAUCAAACCGGGAGAUAGCUGGUUCUCCCCGAAAGCUAUUUAGGUAGCGCCUCGUGAAUUCAUCUCCGGGGGUAGAGCACUGUUUCGGCAAGGGGGUCAUCCCGACUUACCAACCCGAUGCAAACUGCGAAUACCGGAGAAUGUUAUCACGGGAGACACACGGCGGGUGCUAACGUCCGUCGUGAAGAGGGAAACAACCCAGACCGCCAGCUAAGGUCCCAAAGUCAUGGUUAAGUGGGAAACGAUGUGGGAAGGCCCAGACAGCCAGGAUGUUGGCUUAGAAGCAGCCAUCAUUUAAAGAAAGCGUAAUAGCUCACUGGUCGAGUCGGCCUGCGCGGAAGAUGU
rnacentral:rRNA from 1 species